rnacentral:tRNA from 1 species
GACGGUGGCGUAAAGGUAUUGUCCGAUGCUCGGAACGCUGAGCUUCAGGGUUCGAAUCCCGGUUCGUCC